rnacentral:rRNA from 1 species
GAUGAACGCUGGCGGCGUGCUUAACACAUGCAAGUCGAACGAUGAAGCCCAGCUUGCUGGGUGGAUUAGUGGCGAACGGGUGAGUAACACGUGAGUAACCUGCCCUUAACUCUGGGAUAAGCCUGGGAAACUGGGUCUAAUACCGGAUAGGAGCGUCCACCGCAUGGUGGGUGUUGGAAAGAUUUAUCGGUUUUGGAUGGACUCGCGGCCUAUCAGCUUGUUGGUGAGGUAAUGGCUCACCAAGGCGACGACGGGUAGCCGGCCUGAGAGGGUGACCGGCCACACUGGGACUGAGACACGGCCCAGACUCCUACGGGAGGCAGCCGUGGGGCCUAUUGCCCAAUGGGCGCAAGCCUGAUGCAGCGACGCCGCGUGAGGGAUGACGGCCUUCGGGUUGUAAACCUCUUUCAGUAGGGAAGAAGCGAAAGUGACGGUACCUGCAGAAGAAGCACCGGCUCACUACGUG